UUUAUAAUAAGCAGCAUGGAAAAAUCUACUAUGCUGUUGAAGGAAGCACAUCCAUGGCCUCAAGGGUGGAUCACUCAUGGGAAGACCAAGAUUGGGAGACAUCCCGACUGGCCUAAGGUUCUCACAGUGUGUCGGCAGGACCUUGCUGUACCUCCUGGAGACAUAUUUCAUUUAUUGAGGAGUGUGUGUCAUCAAGACCCUGGGUAGCCUUACUGCAGAACAGCGGACUGGACAAGAUUCCCUACAGAGAACUCUUGCAUCCUCAGCUGUUCUGUGCUUCAGUCAAAUGAGACAGGCCAUUUUGCUGUGCAUUUUUCUCCAUCUCUCUCUCCUUUUUUUUUUUUUUUUUUCCAUAUGUGAACACUUAUCUACAAGUUAGAGGAAAGACUGAAAACUUAGCAAAAUUAUCACAGUGGAAACGAGAUACUUGAGUAUGAACAUCUAGUUUAGCUGUCUUAGGCUUCUACCAGAAAAGACAUAUUUCUCCUUUAAAUCCUAUAUUCCAAAUAAUGGCCUGAACAGAUGACUUAGAAUACUGUAUUACAGUAGAUUGGACUCAACAGCUUCAUUACCCAAAUUACGCUAGCCAACUCUGUAGCAACAUUUUUUAUCUCCCUCACCUCAGUCUGGAUCUAAAUAACUUCAUAAUAAACAUGUAGACCAGGGAGAUAAAGGGCAAUUAUCAAUAAAAGGUUAACAAAAUCAGUUACUUGAAUACAUUAUUACCUUUUCUCCAUUUAAAUCUUAAAAAGUCAGUCAUGGAUGGAGAUUUUUUGAUGACAGACAAGAGUGGAAGAAUGAUUUAAAGUUCCAAGAGGUCUCCUUCUCCACUGUGUAAGAAUAACUGGCUUAUAUCCAGAAUCCUGCACUUAAUUAUAUUCAUUUUCAUUUUCCAUCAACUUUACUGCUUAUCUUUCCAAAUCUUACUUCAAACUGGAGGCACCUGAAGAUACUGAAAAAUUCUGAUACUAUUACUUCUACAGCAGAGAGAUCUAACACUAAGAAGUCUUUUAACAAAUGACAAAUUCUCUCUUAUUUAAUAUAUCUUUAUACAAAAUAUUACAUAUAUAUAUAAUUACUAUAUAUAAUAUAUAUUUAAUAUAUAUAUUAUACACAUAUAUACUUUUUCUCUAGCUAGUUGUUAAACAAGGUUAUAUUCUACCUGUUGUCCUUUCUCUUUUGCUGACCAUGCUGUAUAAAAUACUGAAAAUAUUAGAAUGUUCAUAUUGACAGAAUUUACCACUCAAUUUAAUCUUACUUAUGUGUAACUUCAUUUAUUAUUUUAAAGAUAAAUGUAUCAUCUAGAAACCUCAGUACAUCCUGUCAGGACCAAUUCCAGAGAUGUAUACGAGCACUGUCUGUACAGAUACUGCUAUUACACUACAAAGUUAGUUUUUCUAGUUUAUCAGUGUAAAGUAAGUCUAAAAAUAAGCACUACUCUCAUAUUGCUCAAAUAUACUCCGUAUUUUCAUA
ensembl:lncRNA